rnacentral:rRNA from 1 species
UACGUAGGGGGCUAGCGUUGUCCGGAUUUAUUGGGCGUAAAGAGCGUGUAGGCGGCCAUGUAGGUCCGGUGUGAAAACUCGAGGCUUAACCUCGAGAUGUCAUCGGAAACCAUUUGGCUAGAGUCCGGAAGAGGAGAGUGGAAUUCCUGGUGUAGCGGUGAAAUGCGCAGAUAUCAGGAAGAACACCGGUGGCGAAGGCGGGUCUCUGGGCAGUAACUGACGCUGAGGAGCGAAAGCGUGGGGAGCGAACAGG